rnacentral:rRNA from 1 species
UACAGAGGGGGCAAGCGUUGUUCGGAUUCACUGGGCGUAAAGGGCGCGUAGGCGGCCUGCUAAGUCGAACGUGAAAUCCCUGGGCUCAACCCAGGAACUGCGUCCGAUACUGGUUGGCUUGAAUUCGGGAGAGGGAUGCAGAAUUCCAGGUGUGAGCGGUGAAAUGCGUAGAUAUCUGGAGGAAUACCGGUGGCGAAGGCGGCAUCCUGGACCGAGAUUGACGCUGAUGAGCGAAAGCUAGGGGAGCA